rnacentral:rRNA from 1 species
GACAGAGGGUGCAAACGUGUUCGGAAUUACUGGGCGUAAAGCGUGUGUAGGCGGCCAUAUAAGUCGGAUGUGAAAGCCCUGGGCUCAACCCAGGAAGUGCACUCGAUACUGUAUGGCUUGAGUACUGGAGAGGUUGGUGGAAUUCUCGGUGUAGAGGUGAAAUUCGUAGAUAUCGAGAGGAACACCGGUGGCGAAGGCGGCCAACUGGACAGAUACUGACGCUGAGACACGAAAGCGUGGGGGAGCAAACAGG